UACGUAGGGUGUGAGCGUUGUCCGGAAUUAUUGGGCGUAAAGAGCUCGUAGGCGGUGUGUCGCGUCGGCCGUGAAAACCUGGGGCUCAACUCUGGGCGUGCGGUCGAUACGGGCAUCACUUGAGUUCGGCAGGGGAGACUGGAAUUCCUGGUGUAGCGGUGAAAUGCGCAGAUAUCAGGAGGAACACCGGUGGCGAAGGCGGGUCUCUGGGCAACAACUGACGCUGAGGAGCGAAAGCGUGGGGAGCGAACAGG
rnacentral:rRNA from 1 species